rnacentral:sRNA from 1 species
GUCAAUAACCCACCACUUAACCGAAAGGUUUGAAGUUGGGGCUUUUAAAAGCCCAUGUUGACUAGCCUAAGUGUUUUGAACACUACGUUGUUUUGGUCAUAACACCUGCAAAUAUAUAGCCUAGUCUGCAGCUCUGU